UAGUCCACGCCGUAAACGAUGGACACUAGUUGCUGGGACUUCGGUUUCAGUGACCAAGCUAACGUGAUAAGUGUCCCACCUGGGGAGUACGAUCGCAAGGUUGAAACUCAAAGGAAUUGACGGGGUCCGCACAAACGGUGGAGCAUGUGGUUUAAUUCGAUGAUACGCGAGGAACCUUACCAGGGCUUAAAUGUAGGUUGCAUGAUUUGGAAACAGAUCUUUCUUCGGACUACUUACAAGGUGCUGCAUGGUUGUCGUCAGCUCGUGCCGUGAGGUGUCAGGUUAAGUCCUAUAACGAGCGCAACCCUUGUCGUUAGUUGCUAGCAGGUAAAGCUGAGGACUCUAGCGAGACUGCCGGUGUAAACCGUGAGGAAGGUGAGGACGACGUCAAAUCAUCACGGCCCUUAUGUCCUGGGGCUACACACGUGCUACAAUGGUAUGGACAGCGAGCAGCCACUACGCAAGUAGGUG
rnacentral:rRNA from 1 species